rnacentral:rRNA from 1 species
UACGUAGGGGGCAAGCGUUGUCCGGAAUCAUUGGGCGUAAAGCGCGUGUAGGCGGCUAGGUAAGUCUGCUCUGAAAGCCCGGGGCUCAACCCCGGGUCGGCCGUGCGGACUGGCGUGCUUGAGCACUGUAGGGGCGGGUGGAAUUCCGGGUGUAGCGGUGGAAUGCGUAGAGAUCCGGAAGAACACCGGUGGCGAAGGCGGCCCGCUGGGCAGGAAGAUCUCGUAAGGGAUCGGCUGACGCUGAGGCGCGACAGCGUGGGGAGCAAACAGG